rnacentral:rRNA from 1 species
GACGAACGCUGGCGGCAUGCCUAACACAUGCAAGUCGAACGGAGUUUGGAAGGUUCGCCUUCUGAACUUAGUGGCGGACGGGCGAGUAACGCGUGAGCAACCUGCCCUUCAGUGGGGAAUAACGGCUGGAAACGGUCGCUAAUACCGCAUAACGUAACGGAGCCGCAUGACUCUGUUACCAAAGGAGCAAUUCGCUGUAAGAUGGGCUCGCGUCCGAUUAGAUAGUUGGUGAGGUAACGGCCCACCAAGUCGACGAUCGGUAGCCGGACUGAGAGGUUGAACGGCCACAUUGGGACUGAGACACGGCCCAGACUCCUACGGGAGGCAGCAGUGGGGGAUAUUGCACAAUGGAGGAAACUCUGAUGCAGCAACGCCGCGUGAGGGAAGAAGGUUUUCGGAUUGUAAACCUCUGUUUUAGUGAAGAAACAAAUGACGUAGCUAAAGAGGAAG